UCGCCUCCGUUUACAGCUUGGUAAGCGCAACUGCGCGGGAGCGGCACCGACUCUGUAGAGGAGAAGAAGAACCGACGGCCACCCACCGCCUCUCUCUCCCAGGGCUCCCUAUAAAACCACCCGACCCCCGCCCUCUUCCUCUUGAUAUUCAUAGCGAUUUUCCCGGAUCACCUUUUUCUCCUCUUUCCUUCUGUGGUGUGGGCGUCAGGUAAGUCGUAGGUAAGGAGCAGCUAGUUUCAAAUCUCACGCUGUUUCCUCUGUUCUUCGAUUUGUUGAUGAUCAGGUGCAUGGGCUAGGCAUGUAGAUCGUUCCCUUCUCUCUGUGGUGCCCGAUCCGUUCGAUUCGUGUUCUAGGGUUGUGCAGUUGUUUUGAUGCGAUUUCUGUUCAUUACGGUGGAGUGGAUUUGUCAGAUCUGUUUGAUUGGUUAGCUUGGACGUCUAUGGCAUGUUCGGAAUCGGAUGAAUUGAAGGGUGUGGUUUUAUGUUGCCCCUGAUCUGCAUGGUGAUUGAUCUGUUCAGUCGAAGGUUGUUGGUUCGGUGCAUAUAUCUUGUUUAGGAUGCUAUUUAUUUUUUUUAUAAAAACCAGCACCUGCUCUUGUUAUAGGAGACAAUUGGACUGCUCUGAAUUCUGAACUUUUUGCUCCUGAAUGAUCGUAUAACCCCUACGAUGGGUCAGCCUAGUCAGAAGGUUUAGACAGUAUAGGCAAUGGCUUCUUAUGUCAAUCCAGAAUCUCGACAGAGCUAUGUUGUAGCAUGUUUAUUUCAAGCAAGCAAUGAUAAUCAGAUUCUUUCAAAGCUGUUGCAAUUAGGGGGUCAUGUCCUGAAGUUUCGCUGGUUGGAGAUAAGUUGAUUUCUUUGGGAGUGAGCACAGAACUCAUUUAGAGCUAUUGAGAUGAUCAUGGAGAUGAUCCUGCAUUAUCACUUUCCAAUCAAUUCAAUUUUGGAGGUUCAUUUUAGGACAAACAUGGGUGCAAAGUUUGAUUUACUCCUCCGAGGCAUAAUUUGAUGCUAGUUCAUGGUACUAAGAUUGUAGAAGUGCAUCUUUGAAGCCACAGCUUUUUGAAGCUUCUUCUGAGUAGGUUCUGGAGGAUUCAUGAAUUAGUGUCCACUUGGUUUACUGCUGCUGUUUGUUUUUCUGGUGGUAUCUUAAGGCCUUCUGUCUGAUUUUGUGAUAUUGGUGAUUUAGCCAGGGUUAUUAUCUCCAACAACAUAUUCUCAAUUUUGAUAUUACUAGUUUUGGCUUCUGUUAUUUCAUCACUUGCUGGAUUGGAGCCUGAUUCAAGGGUCAAAGUGGUCUUUGAUGUUUUUUAGUUCAGUAGUUCUGUAAUUGUAAUUUAUGUUCCAGAGUGUGUAUGAUGUGAAGUUACAUCUUAUCUAUGUAAGAGCUGUAAUAUAUAUAAAAAAAUCUGUAACCCUAGUGCAUUAUUUGCACUAUCAUGUUUAGUAUGAAUUAUAUUUGCGAAUUAACUUUCAUGGAUUAAA